rnacentral:rRNA from 1 species
ACUCCUACGGGAGGCAGCAGUGGGGAAUAUUGCACAAUGGGCGCAAGCCUGAUGCAGCAACGCCGCGUGAGGGACGACGGCCUUCGGGUUGUAAACCUCUUUUAGCAGGGAAGAAGCGAAAGUGACGGUACCUGCAGAAAAAGCACCGGCUAACUACGUGCCAGCAGCCGCGGUAAUACGUAGGGUGCAAGCGUUGUCCGGAAUUAUUGGGCGUAAAGAGCUCGUAGGCGGUUUGUCACGUCUGCUGUGAAAUCCCGAGGCUCAA